rnacentral:snRNA from 1 species
AUCGCUUCUCAGCCUUUUGGCUAAGAUCAAGCGUAGUAUCUUUAUAUUCAUAAGAAAUUGUUAUACAAUUUGAUAUUAUCCACUAAAUUAUGUCAUUUGCAGCCAUC